rnacentral:rRNA from 1 species
AGUGAACGCUGGCGGUAGGCCUAACACAUGCAAGUCGAGCGGCAGCACAGUAAGAGCUUGCUCUUACGGGUGGCGACUGGCGGACGGGUGAGGAAUACAUCGGAAUCUACUUUUUCGUGGGGGAUAACGUAGGGAAACUUACGCUACUACCGCAUACGACCUACGGGUGAAAGCAGGGGUUCUUCAGACCUUUCGCGACUGAAUGAGCCGAUGUCGGAUUAGCUAGUUGGCGGGGUAAAGGCCCACCAAGGCGACGAUCCGUAGCUGGUCUGAGAGGAUGAUCAGCCACACUGAACUGAGACACGGUCCAGACUCCUACGGGAGGCAGCAGUGGGGAAUAUUGGACAAUGGGCGCAAGCCUGAUCCAGCCAUACCGCGUGGGUGAAGAAGGCCUUCGGGUUGUAAAGCCCUUUUGUUGGGAAAGAAAAGCAGCAGGUUAAUACCCCGCUGUUCUGACGGUACCCAAAGAAUAAGCAACGGCUAACUUCGUG